AGACGCAGAGAACUGAAACAUCUAAGUACCUGCAGGAAGAGAAAGAAAAUUCGAUUCCCUGAGUAGCGGCGAGCGAAACGGGAAAAGCCCAAACCAGCAAGCUUGCUUGUUGGGGUUGUAGGACUCCAAUAUGGUAGUUCUUUCAGAUAGUCGAAUGACUUGGAAAAGUCAGUCAAAGAGGGUAAAAACCCCGUAGACGAAAUGUGGAAGACACCUAGGAGGAUCCUGAGUACGGCGGAACACGAGAAAUUCCGUCGGAAUCCGGGAGGACCAUCUCCCAAGGCUAAAUACUCCCUAGUGACCGAUAGUGAACCAGUACCGUGAGGGAAAGGUGAAAAGCACCCCGGAAGGGGAGUGAAAUAGAACCUGAAACCGUGUGCCUACAACAAGUCAAAGCCCGUUAAUGGGUGAUGGCGUGCCUUUUGUAGAAUGAACCGGCGAGUUACGAUUGCAUGCGAGGUUAAGUUGAAGAGACGGAGCCGCAGCGAAAGCGAGUCUGAAUAGGGCGUUUGAGUAUGUAGUCGUAGACCCGAAACCAUGUGAUCUACCCAUGUCCAGGUUGAAGGUGCGGUAAAACGCACUGGAGGACCGAACCCACGUACGUUGAAAAGUGCGGGGAUGAGGUGUGGGUAGCGGAGAAAUUCCAAACGAACUUGGAGAUAGCUGGUUCUCUCCGAAAUAGCUUUAGGGCUAGCCUCGGAAUUGAGAAUGAUGGAGGUAGAGCACUGUUUGGACUAGGGGCCCAUCUCGGGUUACCGAAUUCAGAUAAACUCCGAAUGCCAUUCAUUCAUAUCCGGGAGUCAGACUGUGAGUGAUAAGAUCCAUAGUCGAAAGGGAAACAGCCCAGACCACCAGCUAAGGUCCCAAAAUAUAUGUUAAGUGGAAAAGGAUGUGGGGUUGCACAGACAACUAGG
rnacentral:rRNA from 1 species